rnacentral:rRNA from 1 species
CGUUCCCGGACCUUGUACCACACCGCCCGUCAAGCCAUGGAAGCUGGGAGGACCUGAAGGCAGUUGCCUGCAAGGCGCUGUUUAGGGUAAAACCGGUCGACUCGGGGCUA